rnacentral:rRNA from 1 species
GAUGAACGCUGGCGGCGUGCCUAACACAUGCAAGUCGAACGGGAACUCCGAGAUGAAGUUUCGAUGGAUUCUUGGAAAUUCUAGUGGCGGACGGGUGAGUAACGCGUGGGUAACCUGCCCUUAAGAGGCGAAUAACAGUGAGAAAUCACUGCUAAUACGCCAUAUGCUUACGAGACCGCAUGGUCUUGUGAGGAAAAGAAUUUCGCUUAAGGAUGGACCCGCGUUUGAUUAGCCAGUUGGCAGGGUAACGGCCUACCAAAGCAACGAUCAAUAGCCGGCCUGAGAGGGUGAACGGCCACAUUGGAACUGAGACACGGUCCAAACUCC